rnacentral:misc_RNA from 1 species
GACAGAGGUGCCAAGCGUUAGGCGGAAUCACUGGGCUUAAAGCGUGUGUAGGCGGAUGCCUAAGUACUUUGUGAAAUCCCACGGCUCAACCGUGGAACUGCUUGGUAUACUGGGUGUCUUGAGCCACUUAGGGGCGACCGGAACAAAUGGUGGAGCGGUGAAAUGCGUAGAUAUCAUUUGGAACGCCAAUGGUGAAAACAGGUCGCUGGGAGUGUGCUGACGCUGAGACACGAAAGCCAGGGGAGCGAACGGG